rnacentral:lncRNA from 1 species
CUUCUCCUCUAUCGUCUCUCUCAAACGUUCAGAGACGGAACCCCCGAAAACCCUAGCUGCCAUUGAUGCAAUCCAUCAAAAAGCCUGGUGGAAACUAUGCUGCCGGUCACCUCCUCAACACCACAAGACCCCCUUCUCACCCCAAACUUAAAUAUCAUACUCCCUUGGCUCGAAUCUAGCCAUACCUUGUCGAAUCUUCAUUUGAAGAUUCAAGCCCCAACUCGACAUAUACCAACCGAUCCCAAAAUGAUAUCAAACAUUCACUGACCUCUAUCAUACCUAAACUAACAAAGGUCUGGUUCGAAUCUAACUUGAAAACCCCGAGUCCCAAAUCACCUGUAUAAACCGUAGAAAUCCAAAAAUUAGGGGUAUGUUCAAAUCAGUAGGAGAUUGAAGUUCAAUAGACUUUAAUCCGGAUGUUCUCAACUGAGAACACCCCGAUUAGAUUCUAUUCGACCUCAAAUGGUCGAGUCUGAUUCAAGACUGGGUCGUUUGGUCAGGAGCCUUCAAAUAUAAGUCCGUCCCUUCCCUCUAUUUUUGUUUGUGUUUGUUUAUGUGUUCAUCUGCGUAUUUGUUUUAAUUCAUUUGAUUUUUCUAUUAUUUUUCCGUCAAAUUUCUCAUCUUCAAUAGACAUUUUUAUUUGGUUAUUUACUUCUGUCUGAUUGUCAUUUGUUGCUAUUAUAAGUCACAUAGCCAACAUGUUUAGAGUCAUAUUAGGUUUCAUUGUUAAAACCACUGAAGUUUUUUUAUAACCUGUUUGUAUGAUCCUGUUUGUUUGGUACCAUUUGUGUAUAGUAAUCUAUUAAAUAAGUGUCAUCAACUAAUUCGCUUGAGAAAUAGAAUAUGCAUGAUAGUAGUCUGUUGUUUGUUCAUUACAGUAUGCUAUCCAUUUGUGGCUUCUUUCUUGUUCUAAUUUUGUACCAAAUGAACCUGUUUGGUGAGUACCCUUUGAACCAGACCCCUCGUUUGAUCCCCCGUUCUGUAUAUUUAUUCACAUAAACCUUACACCUGCUUCAAUUCUCUUUGAAUCACUAACUGGUUUGGUAAUUUGAAUUGGUCAAAGCUAUUGUAGUUUGUUGGUUAACUAGGAAUCAGUCAGUAUUAGUAAGUUUUGUAUAAAUUCAUUGUGUCUCGUAAUUGUCUGACAUUGUCGUGAGUUCAAAAUAUGUCUCCUAUAAUUAUAUGUAAUUCGUGCUUAUGGCUAUCAUAAUUCGGUAUGCUUACAGUAUUCCAAUUGUUUUGUUUAGGUUUAAUUUAGAAAGUAUAAUUGGUUUCAAAUUUGAAUAAUAUGCAUCUGGGUUAGUCAGUUGUGGUCCCCGUAGUUUAUUGCAAUCUGUUCUAAAUUUGGUUAACAAGAAUUUAAUUUCAUAGUUUCAGUGAUCAAUUUGAUAGGUUUUAAGUGGAUUAUAGCUGAUAUUGUUCUUAAUUUAGAUACAGUUCUUAAUAAUUCAGUGUUUAAUUAAGAAUUGAUUUAGGAUAAUCUGUCAUUAAAUUUUGUGUUAGAUCAAUUAUUCAUAGUUUAUGGUCAACAGGGGUGAGGCAGAACAGUAAGGGAGUUAUAGGGUGAAACAUAGAGGAAUUCCAGGGGUUUUUUAGGAAUAAAAAGAAUAAGUAAAUUUGGUUUGACUGAAUAGUCUAUCCUGUAAGACCCCAACAACUUUAAUUUGAACUAAUUGGUAGAGGGGGACCACUAAGUAAUGAGAGUGUUUGCUUAAUUUAAAUUAGGAAUAGCAUAAGUAGUGAUAAAAGCUAAAAGAAUAUACAUAGGAGAGGGAAUAUAGAAGUUGGAAUGUAAAAAAGGUGAAGGGUAAUACUAAAAGGGAAAUAGUAAAGGAAUAUGAUAGCUGGAAAGAGGGUCUGUCUUUGGGUACAAAUAGAGGGAGACAUGGAUAGUUGAAAAAAAAACUAGAGUAAGAGUUGGGGAGUCUUAAAGAGUUUAAGAGAGCUUGAAUAUACAAAAAAUACAGAAGGAGUCCAAAAAGAGAAAAACAGAAGAGAAUAUUCUGGAAAAAUACUGUGAAUGAACAGAUAGUAAGAAAAUGAUCUAAAUUUAAACAAGGCUUUUAAUAUACCAAAAACCCAUUUACCCUAUAUUUGGAUUCUACCAAAAAAAUUUUUAGAACAUUAUUCGAAGUUUGAAAACAGUAGCUCUUCAUUGAUAAGUUGAAAUUUAUUGAACUCGGUUUUAAAUCUUGAUUUCGAUUCGGUCGAAUUUUGGUUCGAGUGAACUCUUUCUUCUGAGGUUGCUGUGUAUUGAUUCUCGGUUGAAAUUUGUUAUAUUACUGCUGUUUUAAUUACGCGAUUGUUGCUGUGUUAUCUACUGAGGACUGAUCUUUCUUCUUCUGUUCUUCUUUCCAGUCCAGGUAUUUCUCAACCCCAAGAGGUGUAUGAUAACUGGAACUGCAAAUUCAAGGAAUGGAUAAUGAAUUACUACUUAUUUCAUUACCUGAAGAUCUCAUUGUUUCACUUAGUUUAGAGUUUUCUUUUGCAUAAUUUAAAC